rnacentral:rRNA from 1 species
GAUGAACGCUGGCGGCGUGCCUAAUACAUGCAAGUCGAGCGAACAGACGAGGAGCUUGCUCCUCUGACGUUAGCGGCGGACGGGUGAGUAACACGUGGAUAACCUACCUAUAAGACUGGGAUAACUUCGGGAAACCGGAGCUAAUACCGGAUAAUAUAUUGAACCGCAUGGUUCAAUAGUGAAAGACGGUUUUGCUGUCACUUAUAGAUGGAUCCGCGCCGCAUUAGCUAGUUGGUAAGGUAACGGCUUACCAAGGCAACGAUGCGUAGCCGACGUGAGAGGGUGAUCGGCCACACUGGAACUGAGACACGGUCCAGACUCCUACGGGAGGCAGCAGUAGGGAAUCGUCCGCAAUGGGCGAAAGCCUGACGGAGCAACGCCGCGUGAGUGAUGAAGGUCUUCGGAUCGUAAAACUCUGUUAUUAGGGAAGAACAAAUGUGUAAGUAACUAUGCACGUCUUGACGGUACCUAAUCAGAAAGCCACGGCUAACUAUGUG